AUUGAACGCUGGCGGCAUGCCUUACACAUGCAAGUCGAACGGCAGCACGGGGGGUAACCCCUGGUGGCGAGUGGCGAACGGGUGAGUAAUAUAUCGGUACGUGUCCUGUAGCGGGGGAUUACCUAUCGAAAGAUGGACUAAUACCGCAUACGACCUACGGGUGACAGCGGAGGACCGCAAGGCUUCGCACUAUAGGAGCUGCCCAUAUCGGAUUAGCUCGUUGGGGGGGUAACGGGCCACCAAGGCGACGAUCCGUAGCUGGUCGGAGAGGACGAUCAGCCACACUGGAACUGAGACACGGUCCAGACUCCUACGGGAGGCAGCAGUGGGGAAUUUUGGACAAUGGGCGCAAGCCUGAUCCAGCCAUGCCGCGUGAGAGAAGAAGGCCUUCGGGUUGUAAAGCUCUUUCGGCGGGGACGAAACGGUUCGUGCUAAUACCACGGACUACUGACGGUACCCGCAGAAGAAGCACCGGCUAACUACGUG
rnacentral:rRNA from 1 species